rnacentral:rRNA from 1 species
AUUGAACGCUGGCGGCAGGCCUAACACAUGCAAGUCGAGCGUAUGAGAGGAGCUUGCUCCUUGAUUUAGCGGCGGACGGGUGAGUAAUGCCUAGGAAUCUGCCUGGUAGUGGGGGAUAACGUUCCGAAAGGAACGCUAAUACCGCAUACGUCCUACGGGAGAAAGCAGGGGACCUUCGGGCCUUGCGCUAUCAGAUGAGCCUAGGUCGGAUUAGCUAGUUGGUGAGGUAAUGGCUCACCAAGGCGACGAUCCGUAACUGGUCUGAGAGGAUGAUCAGUCACACUGGAACUGAGACACGGUCCAGACUCCUACGGGAGGCAGCAGUGGGGAAUAUUGGACAAUGGGCGAAAGCCUGAUCCAGCCAUGCCGCGUGUGUGAAGAAGGUCUUCGGAUUGUAAAGCACUUUAAGUUGGGAGGAAGGGCAGUAAGCUAAUACCUUGCUGUUUUGACGUUACCGACAGAAUAAGCACCGGCUAACUUCGUG